GAAGCUAAAGCUUGCAGUGCACCACCGCACACUAUAAAUCUUUCGAGAAACUCUAUUUUCAAAUAUGAUGGCUUAAUUUGAAUCAACAUUGGUCCACUCUACUUAAACCAAAUUAAUAAACGAAAGCAUUAAACUUAAUGACCAUCCCAUGUAAGGCAGCAACAAGUGACUGUUAAACCAAAUCAUAUCAACGAAAGCACGAAAGUUAAUGGUCUUCCCACGUAAAGCACCAACAAGUAACUCCAAAUUAUAAUCUAAAUAAACUAUUAAAAAAAAUUAACAAGAAACUUGCAGUUGCUCUGGCCCUCCAAGUUGCACUGGAACAAUAUUCACAACCAUCGCCAAAAAAGAAGCAUGGCUUUGUCAUGCCCCGAACCCAACAUCCGG
rnacentral:lncRNA from 1 species